AACGCACAUUGCGCCCCCUGGCAUUCCGGGGGGCAUGCCUGUUCGAGCGUCAUUACACCACUCAAGCCUGGCUUGGUAUUGGAGGUCGCGGUCCGCCGCGCCUCCUAAUGUCGCCGGCCGAGUCGUCUGUCUCCGAGCGUUGUGAAUCUUCAAUUCGCUUUCGAGUACAGGCGGCGCGCGCCGUUAAACCUCUUUUUCAGGUUGACCUCGGAUCAGGUAGGGAUACCCGCUGAACUUAA
rnacentral:misc_RNA from 4 species